UCCACGUUAACCGCGGCAGUCUCGUUAGAGUGCUUAACUUAAUAGUAGCAACUAACAAUAAGGGUUGCGCUCGUUGCGGGACUUAACCCAACAUCUCACGACACGAGCUGACGACAACCAUGCACCACCUGUCUUCCUGUCCCCGAAGGGACUUCCUCGAUUAAGAGUAAUUCAGGAGAUGUCAAGUCUAGGUAAGGUUCUUCGCGUUGCUUCGAAUUAAACCACAUGCUCCGCUGCUUGUGCGGGUCCCCGUCAAUUCCUUUGAGUUUUAAUCUUGCGACCGUACUCCCCAGGCGGAAUACUUAAUGCGUUUGCUGCGGCACCGAGGGUGGUACCCCCCGACACCUAGUAUUCAUCGUUUACGGCGUGGACUAC
rnacentral:misc_RNA from 1 species